GCUACACAGAAAAACCCUGUCCCGAAAAAACCAAAAAAAAAAAAAAAAAAAAAAAAAAGUAUUCCCUACUAUGCCCAGUUUGCACCGUCCUGAGAAUGGAACCUACAGCCUUAUGUGUAAUGGGCAAGCAUUCUGCCAACUGAACUGUAUCUCCAGCUCUAUGUUAAUUUAUUAUUUAAUUAUUUUUAUUUAUUUAUUUAUUUAUUUAUUUAUUUAUUUAUUUAUGGCAUGAGGUCAUACGUAGCCAAGGAUGAGCUCGGAUUCCUUGUCUUCCUGCCUCCACCUCCUUAGUUCUGAGAUUUCUGGUAUAUGCUACCAUGCCCUGCUCUGAGAAACAUGUAUUCUUUGUCUGUCUGUCUGUCUCUCUCUCUCUCUCUCUCUCUUUUAAGAAUUAUUUAUUAUUUUAUGUUUAUGAGUACACUGUAGUUGUCUUUAUACACAUCAGAAGAGGGUAUCAGGUCCCAUUACAGAUGGUUGUAAGCCACCAUGUGGUUGCUGAGAAUUGACCUCAGGACCUCUAGCACCAUCAGUUCUCUUAACCACUGAGCCCUGCUUUUUCUUUCUUAAUUGUAAGAUUCGCUCAAGGACAGAAAUGCAAGGUGAAUGAACAGUUUGUCAAAUGAAUCCUGUAAGACUAUAUUCAUAUAACUAGGAAACGUUUAGUAUUUAGGCAGAAGUACUGUGUUCUGCACCCUGAAAGGAGAAAUCGAUGGUGUUCUUUAAUUCUUCCUUUCAUGGUGUCAUUACUUCCUUAAUUAAUUACCCAAAGAGCUUUUGUUCAUGUAUUAUAUUUAAUCAGUAUUUACAUUAGUAAAAAAUAAAAUUGCCAGGCACAGUAGGGCAAACCUCUCCUUACUCCUCAUCCUCAGAAGACUGAGACAGAAGGAUUGUUGCAAGUUUGAGGCCAGUGUAGACAUGGUGUAAGAUACUGUCUCUAAUAAAAUAAUUUUUAAAAUGAAACUUAAGCAAUGUCAAAAUAUUUAACUAAAAAUAAUGAAACUAGGUGUGGUUGAACAGAUCAGUAAUCUCAGCGUUUGAGAAUUGGAAACAGGAGUAUCAAGGCUAGCCUUGGCAAUAGGAGACCUUGUCUCAAAACAUUCAAUAAGACCAGCCUGAACUACAGUAGAACAGGUCAGCCUCCAGCAGCUUAGUGAAAAUCUCUUAGAGUUCAAGUUUGAGGCCAGCCCAGGAUAUGAGACUAAGAUUUCAAGACCUAAACCAGGUGUGAUAGUCAUACCUGACAUGGAAACUGUGCUACUCAAAAAUCAAGUCUUUUAAAAAGAAAGUUCAAGGCCUGCCUCAGCUGCAUAGCAGUUUGAGGCAAGCCUAUAUAAGUUUAUGAGAUCCUGUCUUAAGCUGUAACAUUUUUAAAGGGCCUGUGAGGGAAUGUGGGGUUGGGAGAGUUGGCUCUUACAGAAGAUUGAAGUUCAGUUCCCAGCACCUAUAUUGUAACUCUGUCUCUAGAGGUCCAGAGCCUUCAUUUGGCCUCUAAGGGCAUAUGUACACAUACACAUACACAUACACAUACACAUACACAUACACAUACACAUACACAUACACAUACACAUACACAUAUACA
ensembl:sense_intronic Gm42658 predicted gene 42658